rnacentral:rRNA from 1 species
UACGGAGGAUGCAAGCGUUAUCCGGAUUUACUGGGUUUAAAGGGUGCGCAGGUUGUUUGAUAAGUCAGUGGUGAAAGUCUGUCGCUUAACGGUAGGAUUGCCAUUGAUACUGUUGGACUUGAAUAUGGAUGAGGUAGGCGGAAUGUGUAGUGUAGCGGUGAAAUGCAUAGAUAUUACACAGAACACCGAUUGCGAAGGCAGCUUACUAAUCCAUCAUUGACGCUGAGGCACGAAAGCGUGGGGAUCAAACAGGA